rnacentral:rRNA from 1 species
AGCUCCAAUAGCGUAUAUUAAAGUUGUUGCGGUUAAAAAGCUCGUAGUUGGAUCUCGGCAGGUAGGGGGCGGUUCGUUUCUGACGGCACUGCCCCAUUUACCUGUGUUUUUGCAAGAGGUCUCAAGGUGGCUUUAAUCGGCUGUCUUGGAACGCUUGCAGUUUUACUUUGAAAAAAUUAGAGUGCUCAAAGCAGGCUACAAAGCUUGAAUAUUUGUGCAUGGAAUAAUGGAAUAGGAAGUCGUUUCUAUUUUUUUGGUUUUCGGAAAUUGACUUAAUGAUUAAUAGGGACAGCCGGGGGCAUUAGUACUCAGACGACAGAGGUGAAAUUCUUGGACCGUUUGAGGACUAACUACUGCGAAAGCAUUUGCCAAGAGUGUUUUCA